rnacentral:lncRNA from 1 species
CGAGGGGAUAAAGAAGGGAGGACAAGUUAGCUGAGGUCAGAUUAGGAAGGAGGAGCCCUGGAGGCUGCAGUGAAACACUGUGUGGUGUGCCCUGUUUGAGAUGGGCUCUUUCAUGUCGAAGAGGUUGGCGUAGCUAGAGGACCAAGGCUCUGUCUUCUGAGACCUUCCUGGUGCCUUCCUUCACCAUUUGCCUUCCCUCUCCACCAUGGAGGAUGGACCGGCAGCAGCUGAGUCUGUGCUGUGAACACACCUUUCCACACACGCCAGCCCCGUGUCCACAGCUCCAAGACCACCUGAGGGAUUCACUCAGUGGAGCUCAUGUGCUUAUAGCGACUCUGUUUCCUAGGUGACCUGGAAGACCUGGAGGAGCAUGUGCCAGGGCAGACAGUCUCUGAGGAAGCCACAGGGGUUCACAUGAUGCAGGUGGACCCAGCCACACUGGCAAAGCAAUUGGAAGACUCCACCAUUACAGGCAGCCACCAGCAGAUGUCAGCAAGUCCUUCCUCUGCACCUGCAGAAGAAGCAAC